GAACAAUUAAUUCACCAAUUUCUUUAACUUAUAUUUCCAGGUAAAAACUCCUCUAGUAUCAAUACUUCUGUACUUCUGGCUCUUUAAGACAAUCGUUCUUCAAAUAACCCUAAGUCUUCACUUAGAAGCAUUCUAUGAAGCUGUGAAACAUGCACAGGAUUCCUGCUCCAAGAUAUUAGCAUCAAACAAUACAGUAGAGGACAUAAAGCUAUGUAAGAACGUCCAGCGUCUACAUAAUGCUUCCUAUACGAAGAUGCGUGCCUGUGGUCUGUUCUGUGUGGACAUCUGUCAGCCGCUGCGGCUGCUGGCCUUAAUCACCAACUACACUGUGGUGAUGUUACAGUUCGCGUUUCUGUAGUCCUGGUACCAGUAAACUGUGUUGGUUAUUUGAAUUUGGUUUUAUUUGCCAUUGUUGGGCUGGUUUUCUGGCCAAUUUUGAUGUUAGACUAGAUAGCAGAAGAAAGGGUGGAUGUGAUGACAUACAAUAUGUGUGAGUUACCCAUGAAAUUGAUGUUCCUACAAAGGGUUUGCAUGUACGAUGAAAAUAAUAUAAACAAUGUGUUUGUAAUAAAUAAUUAGAAUUUAAUAACAACAUAUUUUAAUCAGUACAGUCGAGGCUUUGGUCAUUGUCCUAGUGCAUUUUUUUAAGUAUAUCAGUCUAACCAAGCUGUGUAUAUUUUUUUCCCCAAAACGAACCUUUUCUUUAAAGCCGGAGGAAUUGGCCAAAGAAAAAUAACAAUAAUAUUAAUGCGGACAACUUAUCCUGCGGGAUGAGUGCUGACCGGGAUGAGUUGACCGAAUCCUCAUCUUCAUCCAAGUACAGUCUCUGCCCGAAUUCAGUUAGAGUAUCUUCCCAGAACUUUAUUUCUUCGGCAUCUGGCUCGUUCCCGGCCAC